GAUGAACGCUGGCGGCGUGCUUAACACAUGCAAGUCGAGCGAAGCGCUUAAGUUUGAUUCUUCGGAUGAAGACUUUUGUGACUGAGCGGCGGACGGGUGAGUAACGCGUGAGGAACCUGCCUUUCAGUGGGGGACAACAGUUGGAAACGACUGCUAAUACCGCAUAAUGCUUUUGAGCGGCAUCGCUUGAAAGCCAAAGAUUUAUCGCUGAAAGAUGGUCUCGCGUCUGAUUAGCUAGUUGGUGAGGUAACGGCUCACCAAGGCGACGAUCAGUAGCCGGUCUGAGAGGAUGAACGGCCACAUUGGGACUGAGAUACGGCCCAG
rnacentral:rRNA from 1 species